AUUGCUGGGCCAUAGGGUGGACGUACGUUUAGCUUUAUCAGAAAUUGUCAAAAUGAUUUGCAAAGGGAUUGUACCAUUCACACUCCACAGCAACAUACAGGACUUCCUACUGCUCCUCGUCCUCGCCGGCCGAUGCUUGGGCUGCCCGGAUACCCUCUCCUGUGAAGCACCUGCUCAAGGCACUGUCAAUGCUUUAGAGCCGCCUGGAUACCCUCUACUGUGAAGCACCUGCUCAAGGCACUGUCAACGCUUUCGUUUGGUUGUUGCUUUCUUAAUUACUUGUAAUUCUUUAUCAAUCUGUACAGAAAUCCUCUGCUAUAUAAAGGUAUUACAAACAUCUU